UGCAAGUCGACGGUAGCACAGGGGAGCUGCAGUCGAGCGAACAGAUAAGGAGCUUGCUCCUUUGACGUUAGCGGCGGACGGGUGAGUAACACGUGGGUAACCUACCUAUAAGACUGGGAUAACUUCGGGAAACCGGAGCUAAUACCGGAUAACAUUUGGAACCGCAUGGUUCUAAAGUGAAAGAUGGUUUUGCUAUCACUUAUAGAUGGACCCGCGCCGUAUUAGCUAGUUGGUAAGGUAACGGCUUACCAAGGCGACGAUACGUAGCCGACCUGAGAGGGUGAUCGGCCACACUGUAACUGACCCAGGGUCAACACUUCUACGGGAGGCAGCAGUAGGGAAUCUUCCGCAAUGGGCGAAAGCCUGACGGAGCAACGCCGCGUGAGUGAUGAAGGGUUUCGGCUCGUAAAACUCUGUUAUUAGGGAAGAACAAAUGUGUAAGUAACUGUGCACGUCUUGACGGUACCUAAUCAGAAAGCCACGGCUAACUACGUGCCAGCAGCCGCGGUAAUACGUAGGUGGCAAGCGUUAUCCGGAAUUAUUGGGCGUAAAGCGCGCGUAGGCGGUUUCUUAAGUCUGAUGUGAAAGCCCACGGCUCAACCGUGGAGGGUCAUUGGAAACUGGGAAACUUGAGUGCAGAAGAGGAAAGUGGAAUUCCAUGUGUAGCGGUGAAAUGCGCAGAGAUAUGGAGGAACACCAGUGGCGAAGGCGACUUUCUGGUCUGUAACUGACGCUGAUGUGCGAAAGCGUGGGGAUCAAACAGGAUUAGAUACCCUGGUAGUCCACGCCGUAAACGAUGAGUGCUAAGUGUUAGGGGGUUUCCGCCCCUUAGUGCUGCAGCUAACGCAUUAAGCACUCCGCCUGGGGAGUACGACCGCAAGGUUGAAACUCAAAGGAAUUGACGGGGACCGCACAAGCGGUGGAGCAUGUGUUUUAUUCGAAGCAACGCGAGUACCUUACCAUAUUCUUGACAUCCUUUGAAACUCUAGAGAUAGAGCCUUCCCU
rnacentral:rRNA from 1 species